rnacentral:tRNA from 1 species
GCCUGGGUGGCUCAGUCGGUUAAGCGUCCGACUUCAGCUCAGGUCAUGAUCUCACGGUUUGUGAGUUCAAGCCCCACAUCAGGCU